rnacentral:rRNA from 1 species
GACGAACGCUGGCGGCGUGCCUAAUACAUGCAAGUCGAGCGAAUCAAUAGGAGCUUGCUCCUGUUGGUUAGCGGCGGACGGGUGAGUAACACGUGGGCAACCUGCCUGUAAGACUGGGAUAACACCGGGAAACCGGUGCUAAUACCGGAUAAUCCUUUUCCUCUCAUGAGGAAAAGCUGAAAGACGGUUUCGGCUGUCACUUACAGAUGGGCCCGCGGCGCAUUAGCUAGUUGGUGAGGUAACGGCUCACCAAGGCGAAGAUGCGUAGCCGACCUGAGAGGGUGAUCGGCCACACGGGGACUGAGACACGGCCCAGACUCCUACGGGAGGCAGCAGUAGGGAAUCUUCCACAAUGGACGAAAGUCUGAUGGAGCAACGCCGCGUGAGCGAUGAAGGCCUUCGGGUCGUAAAGCUCUGUUGUUAGGGAAGAACAAGUACCGGAGUAACUGCCGGUACCUUGACGGUACCUAACCAGAAAGCCACGGCUAACUACGUGCCAGCAGCCGCGGUAA